rnacentral:rRNA from 1 species
GUAGGGUGCGAGCGUUGUCCGGAUUUAUUGGGCGUAAAGGGCUCGUAGGUGGUUGAUCGCGUCGGAAGUGUAAUCUUGGGGCUUAACCCUGAGCGUGCUUUCGAUACGGGUUGACUUGAGGAAGGUAGGGGAGAAUGGAAUUCCUGGUGGAGCGGUGGAAUGCGCAGAUAUCAGGAGGAACACCAGUGGCGAAGGCGGUUCUCUGGGCCUUUCCUGACGCUGAGGAGCGAAAGCGUGGGGAGCGAACAGGCUUAGAUACCCUGGUAGUCCACGCUGUAAACGGUGGGUACUAGGUGUGGGGUCCAUUCCACGGGUUCCGUGCCGUAGCUAACGCUUUAAGUACCCGCCUGGGAGUACGGCCGCAAGGCUA